UACGUAGGGUGCGAGCGUUGUCCGGAAUUAUUGGGCGUAAAGGGCUCGUAGGCGGUUUGUCGCGUCGGGAGUGAAAUCCACUGGCUUAACUGGUGGCUUGCUUUCGAUACGGGCAGACUGGAGGUAUGCAGGGGAGAACGGAAUUCCUGGUGUAGCGGUGAAAUGCGCAGAUAUCAGGAGGAACACCGGUGGCGAAGGCGGGUCUCUGGGCCCGAACUGACGCUGAGGAGCGAAAGCGUGGGGAGCGAACAGG
rnacentral:rRNA from 1 species